UACGGAGGAUCCAAGCGUUAUCCGGAAUUACUGGGCGUAAAGAGUUGCGUAGGUGGCAUGGUAAGUUGCUAGUGAAAUCCUGGGGCUCAACCCCUUACCCAUUAGCAAAACUGCCAAGCUAGAGGACGAGAGAGGUACCUGGAAUUCCUAGUGUAGGAGUGAAAUCCGUAGAUAUUAGGAGGAACACCGAUGGCGUAGGCAGGGUACUGGCUCGUUCCUGACACUAAGGCACGAAAGCAUGGGUAGCAAACGGG
rnacentral:rRNA from 1 species